rnacentral:rRNA from 1 species
GAUGAACGCUGGCGGCGUGCCUAAUACAUGCAAGUCGAGCGAACAGACGAGGAGCUUGCUCCUCUGACGUUAGCGGCGGACGGGUGAGUAACACGUGGAUAACCUACCUAUAAGACUGGGAUAACUUCGGGAAACCGGAGCUAAUACCGGAUAAUAUAUUGAACCGCAUGGUUCAAUAGUGAAAGACGGUUUUGCUGUCACUUAUAGAUGGAUCCGCGCCGCAUUAGCUAGUUGGUAAGGUAACGGCUUACCAAGGCGACGAUGCGUAGCCGACCUGAGAGGGUGAGCGGCCACGCUGGAACUGAGACACGGUCCAGACUCCUACGGGAGGCAGCAGUAGGGAAUCUUCCGCAAUGGGCGAAAGCCUGACGGAGCAACGCCGCGUGAGUGAUGAAGGUCUUCUGAUCGUAAAACUCUGUUAUUAGGGAAGAACAAAUGUGUAAGUAACUAUGCACGUCUUGACGGUACCUAAUCAGAAAGCCACGGCUAACUACGUG